AGCGAACGCUGGCGGCAGGCCUAACACAUGCAAGUCGAACGAACUCUUCGGAGUUAGUGGCGGACGGGUGAGUAACACGUGGGAACGUGCCUUUUGGCUCGGAAUAACUCAGGGAAACUUGUGCUAAUACCGAAUGUGCCCUUCGGGGGAAAGAUUUAUCGCCAUUAGAGCGGCCCGCGUCUGAUUAGCUAGUUGGUGAGGUAACGGCUCACCAAGGCGACGAUCAGUAGCUGGUCUGAGAGGAUGACCAGCCACACUGGGACUGAGACACGGCCCAGACUCCUACGGGAGGCAGCAGUGGGGAAUCUUGCGCAAUGGGCGAAAGCCUGACGCAGCCAUGCCGCGUGAAUGAUGAAGGUCUUAGGAUUGUAAAAUUCUUUCACCAGGGACGAUAAUGACGGUACCCGGAGAAGAAGCCCCGGCUAACUUCGUG
rnacentral:rRNA from 1 species